UACGUAGGGUGCUAGCGUUCUCCUGAUUUACUUGGCGUCCAGGGUGCGUAGGUGGUCUUUCCAGUCGGUGGUUAACGGCUACGGCUCAACCGUAUUAAGCCGCCGAAACUGGAAGACUUGAGUGCAGGAGAGGAAAGUGGAAUUCUCAGUGUAGCGGUGAAAUGCGUAGAUAUUGAGAAGAACACCAGUAGCGAAGGCGGCUUUCUGGACUGUAACUGACACUGAGGCACGAAAGCGUGGGUAGAAAAAAGG
rnacentral:rRNA from 1 species